rnacentral:rRNA from 1 species
ACAAGGUUCUGCGGAAGGAUCAUUA